UAAUAUGGCAGAAUAGUGCAAUGAGUUUAAGCCUCAUAAAUAAAAUAAUUUUUUUUUAGA
rnacentral:tRNA from 1 species